GACGAACGCUGGCGGCGUGCCUAAUACAUGCAAGUAGAACGCUGAAGGAGGAGCUUGCUUCUCUGGAUGAGUUGCGAACGGGUGAGUAACGCGUAGGUAACCUGCCUGGUAGCGGGGGAUAGCUAUUGGAAACGAUAGCUAAUACCGCAUAACAGUAGAUAUCGCAUGAUAUCUACUUGAAAGGUGCAAUUGCAUCACUACCAGAUGGACCUGCGUUGUAUUAGCUAGUUGGUGAGGUAACGGCUCACCAAGGCGACGAUACAUAGCCGACCUGAGAGGGUGAUCGGCCACACUGGGACUGAGACACGGCCCAGACUCCUACGGGAGGCAGCAGUAGGGAAUCUUCGGCAAUGGACGGAAGUCUGACCGAGCAACGCCGCGUGAGUGAAGAAGGUUUUCGGAUCGUAAAGCUCUGUUGUAAGAGAAGAACGAGUGUGAGAGUGGAAAGUUCACACUGUGACGGUAUCUUACCAGAAAGGGACGGCUAACUACGUG
rnacentral:rRNA from 1 species